AUUGAACGCUGGCGGCAGGCCUAACACAUGCAAGUCGAGCGAGCGGCGGACGGGUGAGUAAUGUCUGGGAAACUGCCUGAUGGAGGGGGCUAACUACUGGAAACGGUAGCUAAUACCGCAUACCAUCAGAUGUGACCAGGUGGGAUUAGCUAGUAGGUGGGGUAACGGCUCACCUAGGCGACGAUGCCUAGCUGGUCUGAGAGGAUGAUCAGACACACGGGAACUGAGCCACGGUCCAGACUCCUACGUGAGGCAGCAGUGGGGAAUAUUGGGCAAUGGGCGAAAGCCUGAUCCAGCCAUCUCGCGUGUGCGAUGAAGGUCUUCGGAUUGUAAAGCUCUUUAAGUUGGGAGGCGUUACCAACAGAAUAAGCACCGGCUAACUUCGUGCCAGCCGCCGCGGUAAUAC
rnacentral:rRNA from 1 species